rfam:Odoribacter sp. CAG:788 genomic scaffold, scf188
GAAGCGGACACUGAAAAGCUUUGACAGAGUAGGUA